AACGAACGCUGGCGGCAGGCUUAACACAUGCAAGUCGAACGCCCCGCAAGGGUAGUGGCAGACGGGUGAGUAACGCGUGGGAACGUACCUUUCAGUUCGGAAUAACUCAGGGAAACUUGUGCUAAUACCGGAUACGCCCGUAAGGGGAAAGAUUUAUCGCUGAAAGAUCGGCCCGCGUUGGAUUAGCUAGUUGGUGGGGUAAUGGCCUACCAAGGCGACGAUCCAUAGCUGGUCUGAGAGGAUGAUCAGCCACACUGGGACUGAGACACGGCCCAGACUCCUACGGGAGGCAGCAGUGGGGAAUAUUGGACAAUGGGCGAAAGCCUGAUCCAGCCAUGCCGCGUGAGUGAUGAAGGCCCUAGGGUUGUAAAGCUCUUUCACCGAUGAAGAUAAUGACGGUAGUCGGAGAAGAAGCCCCGGCUAACUUCGUGCCAGCCGCCGCCGUAA
rnacentral:rRNA from 1 species